ACAACAACAUUCGGACCGUCGGUCUACCGAGCAAUAUCACCUGCUCGGUGGAAGAUCUUCCCUUUGUCGUUUAAA
rnacentral:pre_miRNA from 1 species